rnacentral:rRNA from 1 species
CGCGUAGGCGGUCUAUAAAGUUAGGUGUGAAAUCCCCAGGCUCAACCUGGGAACUGCACUUAAUACUUAUAGACUAGAGAACCAGAGGGGGUAGUGGAAUUCCAAGUGUAGAGGUGAAAUUCGUAGAUAUUUGGAGGAACACCAGUGGCGAAGGCGACUACCUGGCUGGCUUCUGACGCUGAGGCGCGAAAGCGUGGGGAGCGAACG